AACAUCGCGCACCUGCGGGAACCUGCGGAAGGAUCAUUACAGAGUUGCAAAACUCCCUAAACCAUCGUGAACGUUACCUAAACCGUUGCUUCGGCGGGCGGCCCGGGUCCUUCCCGGCGCCCCUCGGCCCUCGCGGGCGCCCGCCGGAGGUAAACCAAACUAUUGCAUUGUAUGGCCUCUCUGAGUCUUCUGUACUGAAUAAGUCAAAACUUUCAGCAACGGAUCUCAGAUCGGAAGAGC
rnacentral:misc_RNA from 1 species